rnacentral:rRNA from 1 species
AUUGAACGCUGGCGGCAUGCUUUACACAUGCAAGUCGAACGGCAGCGCGGGCUUCGGCCUGGCGGCGAGUGGCGAACGGGUGAGUAAUACAUCGGAACGUGCCCAGUAGUGGGGGAUAGCUCGGCGAAAGCCGGAUUAAUACCGCAUACGACCUGAGGGUGAAAGCGGGGGAUCUUCGGACCUCGCGCUAUUGGAGCGGCCGAUGGCAGAUUAGCUAGUUGGUGGGGUAAAGGCCUACCAAGGCGACGAUCUGUAGCCGGUCUGAGAGGACGACCAGCCACACUGGGACUGAGACACGGCCCAGACUCCUACGGGAGGCAGCAGUGGGGAAUUUUGGACAAUGGGCGAAAGCCUGAUCCAGCAAUGCCGCGUGUGUGAUGAAGGCCUUCGGGUUGUAAAGCACUUUUGGCGGGAACGAAAAGGACUGUGCCAAUACCACGGUUCGAUGGCGGUACCCGCAGAAUAAGCACCGGCUAACUACGUG